rnacentral:rRNA from 1 species
AAAGAACUUGGUUCUAAUUUUUGUUUUAAAUAAAGAAAAGAUUAUAUAUGCAAGCUUUUUAGCGAUACGGUGAGGAAGUAUAAUUAUUAAAUAAAUUUUUUAAAAAAAAAUUUUUUUUUAUUGGUAUUUAUUUUAAUUAUUUUUUUGUUAAAUAUAAUAAUUUUUAAGAAGAUUCACAUCUGCAGUAAUAAAUACUUAAACUAUAAUUGAAGGAUUGAUUAGGCUAGAUUUUUUUUUUGGGAGGGCGAAGAUAUCGUGCCAGCAGCCGCGGUUAUACGAACAUUCUCAAUUUAAUUCAUUGUAGCUUAAUGCAAUAAAGGUUAAUUUUAACUAAAAUGAAUAAGAAGAGAAGCUUAGGAGUGAAAACCUAUUUUUCUUUGAUAAAUUUUUAAUAAAAAUCGAGAUUGUUAAAUUAAAGGAGUAGACCUGGAUUAGAUACCCAGUUAUUCUUUGUUAAAACUAUAAAAUGCUGGUGGAGUACUGAUUUUUUUUUAAAAUACAAAGAACUUGGCGGUUGUCUAUUUCUGAUUAGGGGAGCUUGCUUGAAGAAAAUGAUAAUCCACGUUAUACCUUUCCUACUCUUGUAAAAUUCAGUUUUUAUAUCAUCGUCAUUAAGUUUUCAUUGUAAGCUAGAAAACUUUAAAAACUAAUAUAAAAGUUAGAUGUCAGAUCGAGAUGGAGCUAAUGGGUAGGAGAUAGUGAGCUACAAUAAUUAAUAAUUUAAUAUUGGAAUUAGAAAUAAAAUUUUUUUUAAUGAAAGAGGACUUAAUAGUAAUAAAAUAAAAGAAAAAUUUUAUGAAGUUAGCUCUAGAUUUCGUACACAUCGCCCGUCACCUGCGGGAUUAAACCUGGAGUAAGUCGUAACAUAGUAGGCGUACCGGAAGGUGUAGCCUAG